UAGUCACAAAUGUUCCUUCAGCCUGUUAAUUAUUUCAGUCCGAUUUGAUUUAUCUGAAGAAGUCAGCAUGGCUUAACAUUGUUGCUGGAUAGAUACUUCCAUAGCUAACAUGCUGGCGCUGCUAGCUAGCUAAUGCUAAACUAACCUCAUAUCUGGAUGCCUCAUUCUAGUUCCUGAGAGAGCAGCUUACUGGCAAGUCAACUUUGCUUUAAAACUUUGCAAUCGUCUGUUAAGUCGUUUAACAUGCAAUCAUACAAGCUAGAUAGAUAGAUAUUUUGUUUAAAAGCCUGCUGUCAUUCCCACACCUGAAGCCCCCUGUCCCCAGCAGGAAAGACCACGAAAAAGGGUUGGCUAAGGUACAACUUCCUAUUGAGGAAAUGGAAGACAACUCAAUGUCAUAUUUAGAUUUAGUUACUGACAUGAAUAGAAGCAUGUACAAGCAAUCUAUCAAAUGUAUUUUAUGAAGCCCUUUUUACAUCAGUAGUUCAUAUAGAUACCCUGCCUAAAACCCCCAAAGAGCAAACAAUGCAGACGUAGAAGCACAGUGGCUAGGAAAAACUCCCUAGAAAGGCAGGAACCUAGGAAGAAACCUAGAGGAGCCAGGCUCUGGCCAGUCCUCUUUUGGCUGUGCUGGUGGAGAGUACAGCCAUUUAGCCAGAUUAUUCUAAGAGUAUUCAUAGAUGACAAGCAGUGUCAAAUAAUAGAGGGUUACAGAGGGUGCAAUAGUUCAGCACCUCAGGAGCAAAUGCCAGUUGGCUCUUCAUAGUUGAGCAUUUAGCAGUUGAGACUAGAGGUCAACCGAUUAAUCGGAAUGACCAAUUAAUUAGGGCCGAUUUCAAGUUUUCAUAACAAUCGGUAAUCGGCAUUUUUGGAUACCGAUCACGGCCGAUUACAUUGCACUCCACGAGGAGACUGCGUGGCAGGCUGCCUACCUGUUUUUCAAGUGCAGCAAGGAGCCAAGAUCUACCAACCUGCUCGGUGGGUGACAGGUAACCGUCUUUCCACCAAGCUGUUCCAAGCUGUUCUACCAAGCUGUUCCAGGAGCUUCCAGAGGCUUGUAGACCUGAAGCAGUGUGAUGUGGUCCAGAUCUGACGCCCCUAUUAGCUCAACCACAGGCUUCACAGCCGCAGUUGUCUGCAUCUGCUACACUGGGCACGACAGGUGAUACAGGAAUACGUCUUUCCCGAAGUGGAUCCUUUGUUCGGACCAGCUGGCUGGUUGGUGUGUUUACGGACUACUUCAAUCAAUCCCUAUCCCAGUCUGUUGUCCCCACAUGCUUCAAGAUGGCCACCAUUGUUCCUGUUCCCAAGAAAUUUAAGGUCCACUGACGAUGCAAUCGCCAUCACACUGCACACUGCCCUAUCCCAUCUGGACAAGAGGAAUACCUAUAUCUGCCAUGCACUCCACCACUGCCUGACAGCCUCACCCAGAAGUGCGUACUCUGGGCCUAUCAAGACUGACAAAGCAGAGAUGGGUGGCUGACGAGGAAAAAUAAAACAACAUGCGCUCACACACAUUAUCCACAAUGUAAAUAACUUGUAAUUACUUGUUUAUUUAAUGUUUGCUCCAUUUUAUUUUACGAUUGGAGAUAUCUAUUCCUUCAUAUCCAUUGUCAAUAUCUACAUAAUUACUCUAAAUAUCUAUCAAAUCCAAGUGUGAUUGAUAAUAUUGUAAAAGACAAUGGCUUAAUGUGUACAGUUCGAGGUAAUUCUGUGUACUUUUUUCUGAGUUGAAAUUACAAGUCUCCCUCACACACAUAUUAGACCCAAUGUAAAUCAAUUGUAAUAACUUGAUUAUUUUAUGUAUGCUCCAUUUUAUUUGAGGAAAAUGUCUGCAAUAAAGUACAUUCACAGUUGA